rnacentral:lncRNA from 1 species
AAAGGAACCAAGUGAACGAGGCAAAGCCGUAUACUGAGUCCUCACUAUUGACGUACUUCCUCACGAGGACGGUGGCCCUCGUACUGAACAGGGACCGGGUGUGCAACCUGUCAGCCUCUUCAGGGAAGAUGGGACCCGUUCCCACGGCCCCGCAGUCCCCAGGAGGGUCACUCACUGACUAAGGAACAGUCUUACCCGAAGUUGCCUGCGGCUCACAUUUCCUCGCGGCUUUCCAGGGCUCUGCUGACUCAUAAGAUAAACUGGCCUUUCAUCAAGAGGGACCUCACGCCUUCUCAACCUCCUGGCACACAUCACUGCCCGGGGGCUCCUUCAGUCAGCCUGCAUGCUGGUCAUCAAGAUCAGUGGUUGACAAACUACUGCCCGUGAGCCAAGUCUGACCCAUGACCUGUUUCUGGAAAUACAAGUUCCAUUGGAAC